rnacentral:rRNA from 1 species
CCCCUAGAUGUUCUGGGCCGCACGCGCGCUACACUGAACAGUUCAACAAGUCUUAACCUUGGCCGAUAGGUCUGGGUAAUCUUUGAACGCUGUUCGUGAUUGGGAUAGACCUUUGCAAUUAUGGGUCUUCAACGAGGAAUUCCUAGUAAACGCAAGUCAUCAGCUUGCAUUGAUUACGUCCCUGCCCUUUGUACACACCGCCCGUCGCACCUACCGAUUGAAUGGUCCGGUGAAAUCUCGGGACGGCGGCUUGGUCGCUUGCGUCCGACUGCUGAAACUUGAUUCAACCAUAUCAUUUAGAGGAAGGUGAAGUCGUAACA